GGGGAAUAACAGCGAAGAAAUCGUUGCUAAUACCGCAUAUGCCAUAAGAACCACAUGGUUCUAGUGGGAAAGGAGUAAUCCGCUAACAGAUGGGCUUGCGUCUGAUUAGCUAGAUGGCGGGGUAACGGCCCACCAAGUCGACGAUCAGUAGCCGGACUGAGAGGUUGACCGGCCACAUUGGGACUGAGAUACGGCCCAGACUCCUACGGGAGGCAGCAGUGGGGAAUAUUGGGCAAUGGGCGAAAGCCUGACCCAGCAACGCCGCGUGAAGGAUGAAGGUCUUCGGAUUGUAAACUCUAGUCGUCGGGGACGAGAACGGACGGUACCCGAGGUGAAGCCACGUCUAACUACGUG
rnacentral:rRNA from 1 species